rnacentral:rRNA from 1 species
CCUACGGGAGGCAGCAGUGAGGAAUAUUGGUCAAUGGUCGGGAGACUGAACCAGCCAAGCCGCGUGAGGGAGGAAGGUACAGAGUAUCGUAAACCUCUUUUGUCAGGGAACAAAGGCGGGGACGUGUCCCCGGAUGAGUGUACCUGAAGAAAAAGCAUCGGCUAACUCCGUGCCAGCAGCCGCGGUAAUACGGAGGAUGCGAGCGUUAUCCGGAUUUAUUGGGGUUAAAGGGUGCGCAGGCGGUCUGUUAAGUCAGUGGUAAAAGCCCGGGGCUCAACCCCGGCCCGCCGUUGAAACUGGCAGGCGCGAGUUGGAGAGAGGUAUGUGGAAUGCGCGGUGUAGGGGUGAAAUGCGUAGAGAUCGAGCAGAAUACCGAUUGCGAAGGCGGCAUGCCGGCUCCACACUGACGCUGAGGCGCGAAAGCGUGGGUAUCGAACAGGAUUAGAUACCCGGGUAGUC